GAUUGUGGAUAAUCAUAACUGGCUGUUUGAAGCGUUUUGGAUGUUGAAGCUUAAAUACUUACUUAUUUACUAUAUAUAACUCUAAAGGCAAUGACCUUUCUUUAGAUGACCUUAUGAGAUAGCUGAAUAAAUCGGGAUCUUUGAUGGAUUUCUUUGCCUUCUCUUCAAUCCUUCUAUGUGUAGUGCUUAUUGCUAACCUCCUUCAAUGGCGAAAGCCAAACUCCAAAAGGCUUCCUCCAGGCCCGCCAAGAUGGCCAAUAUUCGGUAACCUUCUUCAAUUGGGCCAAUUACCUCAUAGGGACUUGGCAUCUUUGUGUGAUGAAUAUGGGCCACUCGUAUACCUCCGCCUUGGCAGCGUUGAUGCUAUCACCACCAAUGAUCCUGAAAUCAUACGCGAAAUACUCCUUCGCCAGGAUGAAGUCUUUGCUUCCCGGCCACGGACUCUUGCCGCUGACCAUCUAGCGUAUGGGUGUGGAGAUGUAGCGUUAGCCCCAUUAGGCCCAAAUUGGAAGCGAAUGAGGAGAAUUUGUAUGGAACAACUACUAACAACCAAGAGGCUCGAUUCUUUCGCCAAACACCGUGCCGAGGAAGCCCAGCAUUUAGUGCGAGAUGUUUGGGCACAGGCCCAGACUGGAAA
rnacentral:misc_RNA from 1 species